rnacentral:rRNA from 1 species
CGGGUGAGUAACUCGUGAGAAUCUGUCUCUAGGCCUGGAACAACCACGGAAAAAGGCUGUACUAAUACCGGAUGUGCAGCGUAUGUAAAAUAUUUGUCGCCUAGAGAUGAACUCACUUCUUAUUAGCUAUGUGUGUAGGGCAAGAUAGUCCCUGGGCGACUAUCAGCUCUUUGGCUCGGAGAGAAUGAUCAGCCACCCUGGGACUAAGACCCGGCCCAGACUCCUCCGGGGGGCCGCAGGGGGAAAUUUUCCGCAAGGGGCAAAAGCCUGACGGAACAAUCCCGCGGGGGGAAAAAAGGCUCUUGGUUUGUAAACCUUUUUUCUCGGGGAAUAAUAACUUAAGGCCCUUGAGGAAUAAGCAUCUAUUAACUCCGUGCCAGCCGCCGCGGUAAUACGGAGGAUGCAAGCGUUAUCAAGAAUGAUGGGGCAUAAAGCGUCCUCAGGUGGCAUUAUGAGUCUGCUAUUAAAGAGUGAGGCUUAACCUCAUAAAAUCGGUGAAAACUACAAAUCUAGAGUGCGUUCGGGGCAGAAGGAAUUCCUGGUGUAGCGGUGAAAUGCGUAAAUAUCAGGAAAAACACCGGUGGCGAAGGCGUUCUGCUAGGCCGCAACUGACACUGAGGGAAGAAAGCUAGGGGAACGAAUGGUAUUAGAUACCCCAGUAGUCCUAGCCGUAAACGAUGGAUACUAGGCGUUGCGAGUAUCGACCCUCGUGGUGCCGGAACCAACGAGUUAAGUAUCCCGCCGGGAAAGUACGCACGCGAGUGUGAAACUCAAAGGAAUUGACGGGAGCCCGCACAAGCGGGGGAGUAGGUGGUUUAAUUCGAUGCAACGCGAAAAACCUUACCGGGGCUUGACGUGUCUCCAAUUUCGCUGAAAGGGAGAAGUGCCUUAGGGAGCGCGAACACAUGUGGUGCAUGGCUGUCGUCAGCUCGCGUCGUGAGAUGUUGGGUUAAGUCCCGCACCGAGCGCAACCCUCGUUUUUAGUUGCCAGCAUUAGGUUGGGCACUCUAAAGAGA